rnacentral:rRNA from 1 species
AUUAUCGUACAACCGAGGCGCAACGGCUGUCGCUGGCCUUUCCACAGGUCGUGCACGCCCGAGUGCUCUCAUCCACAAUCCAUCCCCUCACCCCUUGUGCAUCACCGCGUGGGGCCCUCCCUUAUGGGUCAUUCCAAGGGAAGGCUCGCGUUUUUGUUUUGAUUUUUCACACAAACACCCUUUUAGUCUGGAAUGUCAUUCAUUUGCGAUCACACGCAAUCAAUACAACUUUCAACAACGGAUCUCUUGGCUCUCGCAUCGAUGAAGAACGCAGCGAAAUGCGAUACGUAAUGUGAAUUGCAGAAUUCAGUGAAUCAUCGAAUCUUUGAACGCACCUUGCGCCCCUUGGCAUUCCGAGGGGCACACCCGUUUGAGUGUCGUGAAAUUCUCAAACCUUCUUGGUUUUUCAACCAAGAAGGCUUUGGACUUUGGAGGUAUUUUGCUGGCUUCAAGCAGAGCCAGCUCCUCUUAAAUGCAUUAGUGGGGUCCCCUUUGCCGGUCCUCUGACGUGAUAAGCCGAUUCUACGUCUUGGGAUUUGCUCUGUUUCUUGGGAACCUGCUUCCAACCGUCUCGCAGGAGACGUCGUUCGAGCUCGCCUCGACCCCCAUGAACCCUUGACCUCAAAUCGGGUGAGACUACCCGCUGAACUUAAGCAUAUCAAUAAGCGGAGGAAAAGAAACUAACAAGGAUUCCCCUAGUAACUGCGAGUGAAGCGGGAAAAGCUCAAAU